rnacentral:ncRNA from 1 species
CAUUCAUGCUUCAUAAAUCAUAAUUUACUCGAGCGAUAAAAACAAGUUCACAUGAUCGUAUCAAUAUCAGUUAAAACAAUCAAGAUUUCUUGCGUUAUAUAGGUAUGUGCACUUGUGUGUGUUGUAUGUGUUCUUACUGACAAUUUUUGUGUUACAUUAUACAUAUGUGUUAACGUAUAUAACCAUGCAUAGAAUAAUGAAAUAGGAUCGGUUCUUUUUUGUUUGGUUUGCUGAUCUGAGAUGAUGGUUAAGAGGGACGGAUGGGGGCAUUCGUAUCGCUGCGUGAGAGGUGAAAUUCUUGGACCGUAGCGAGACGUACGACUGCGAAAGCAUUUGCCAAGAAUGUCUUCAUUAAUCAAGAACGAAAGUCAGAGGUUCGAAGGCGAUCAGAUACCGCCCUAGUUCUGACCGUAAACGAUACCAACUAGCGUUCCGUCGGCGGUAAAUACGCCUUGACGGGCAGCUUCCCGGAAACGAAAGUUUUUCGGAGGUAGAGCGUAUAUGCUGAGACCCGAAAGAUGGUGAACUAUACCUGAGCAGGAUGAAGCCAGAGGAAACUCUGGUGAAGGUCCGAAGCGAUUCUGACGUGCAAAUCGAUCGUCUGACUUUGGUAUAGGGGCAAAGACUAAUCGAACUAUCUAGUAGCUGGUUCCC